UGAGGAAUUUUGCGCAAUGGGGGAAACCCUGACGCAGCAACGCCGCGUGAGUGAAGAAGGCUUUCGGGUCGUAAAGCUCUGUCAAGCGGGAAGAAAUGCAUCAAGUUGAAUAUGCUUGUUGUUUGACGGUACCGCUGGAGGAAGCACCGGCUAACUCCGUGCCAGCAGCCGCGGUAAUACGGAGGGUGCGAGCGUUAUUCGGAAUCAUUGGGUGUAAAGCGCGUGUAGGCGGCCAGGUCAGUCAGAUGUGAAAUCUCCGGGCUUAACUCGGAACGUGCAUUUGAUACUGCUUGGCUUGAGUACGGGAGAGGAAGGUGGAAUUCCCAGUGUAGAGGUGAAAUUCGUAGAUAUUGGGAGGAACAUCGGUGGCGAAGGCGACCUUCUGGACCGAUACUGACGCUAAGACGCGAAAGCGUGGGGAGCAAACA
rnacentral:rRNA from 1 species